AUUGAACGCUGGCGGCAGGCUUAACACAUGCAAGUCGAGCGGAGAGAGGUAGCUUGCUACUGAUCUUAGCGGCGGACGGGUGAGUAAUGCUUAGGAAUCUGCCUAUUAGUGGGGGACAACAUUUCGAAAGGAAUGCUAAUACCGCAUACGUCCUACGGGAGAAAGCAGGGGAUCUUCGGACCUUGCGCUAAUAGAUGAGCCUAAGUCGGAUUAGCUAGUUGGUGGGGUAAAGGCCUACCAAGGCGACGAUCUGUAGCGGGUCUGAGAGGAUGACCCGCCAAACUGGGACUGAGACGCGGCCCAGACUCCUACGGGAGGCAGCAGUGGGGAAUAUUGGACAAUGGGCGGAAGCCUGAUCCAGCCAUGCCGCGUGUGUGAAGAAGGCCUUAUGGUUGUAAAGCACUUUAAGCGAGGAGGAGGCUACUUUAGUUAAUACCUAGAGAUAGUGGACGUUACUCGCAGAAUAAGCACCGGCUAACUCUGUGCCAGCAGCCGCCGUAACAC
rnacentral:rRNA from 1 species